CCCUUAGAUGCUCUGGGCCGCACGCGCGCUACACUGACAUGUUCAACAAGCCUCCUAGUUCGACAGGAUUUGGGAAAUCUUUGAACGCAUGUCGUGAUAGGGAUAGAUCAUUGCAAUUAUUGAUCUUGAACGAGGAAUUCCUAGUAAACGCGAGUCAUCAGCUCGCAUUGAUUACGUCCCUGCCCUUUGUACACACCGCCCGUCGCACCUACCGAUUGAAUGUUUCGGUGAAGAUUCCGGAUAGGACUUUUUUGAUUUAUUUCAAUUUUGUCUUAAAAGCUAUCUAAACCUCAACAUUUAGAGGAAGGUGAAGUCGUAACA
rnacentral:rRNA from 1 species